UUUCUACUUUGCCUCUUUUUUCCAGGAGGGAUAAGACUGAGAAGAAGGAAUGGAAGAGAAAAUCGCUUUGGGUGAAAGGGAAGGGCAGUAAGAAGCGGUCACCUGGUAUCCAGCAGAUGGGCCAGCCUUCAUGCAGAAGGUAAAUGGAGGGAAACCAUCCCAGAGCAAGCACUAAAGCAGCAAGGAAGAAGUAGCACAGAUUGGCGUUCUCCUCUGUAUGGAUGGAGACAGUGAGUACAAAGGCAGGCUCAGAGUGGAGAAGAUUCUUGUCUGAAGUCACCAAGUGCGUAAGCGGCAAUCACAGAACCAGAAACCAGGACUCCUCCUGCUCAUCAUGCCACCUUGCAGCUUCCUGGAGCUCCAGAUGCCUGGACCCUGAAAUGGUGUCACAGACUUCUGCUUGUGAUUUGCGGCUGAGACUUGGAGCUCCAGCUUUGGCUUCCAGAAUCUCUGAAUUGACAGGUAUUGGGGCAAGGUAGACACUUCUGACAUCUUUCUUGGGUCAAACAAUCAUAUGUGCUCAAAAGAUGUCUUCAUUCUGAAAAAAGGAGUAUUCUCUAGACAGGUGCAUUACCUAGUGGACCACAGGAGUGAGUGAGAACAGGGAAGGAAGAAGGCAAAAGUGGUUGUGUUUUGCAAAUUAGAUGAUGAUAAGGAUAACUGCUGCAGUUCCCUUUCCUAGAGGUAGUACUCAGUGAGUGGGAUAUCCUGCUCUGAGAGAGCCCAACCUGUCC
rnacentral:lncRNA from 10 species